rnacentral:ncRNA from 1 species
AGACGAUAAUACUAAACCACUCGCGAGGGUGGGGCGGAAAGCCUACAGGGUCUUACAGAGACAGCCGGGAUGCCGAA